CAGCUCUGGCCCAACCCACCUUCCUCCACCGGCCCGUACCCCUUCGCGAGGAGGAGAGGCUCCUCCUGUCGCUUUCUUCUUCACGCACGGUGGCGUGACCACCACCGCACAUGGUUGCCUCACCCACCUGCUCAUCCCCCCUUUAAAUCCCUCUGCAGAUCCCCACAAACCCCUAGCCCUUCUCCCUCCCUCGCGCCGCCACCAGAGCCCCUUCCUUCCCUCAUUUUUUUCUCUUCUUCUUGCACGUCUGAGCACCACCGCACCUUCCCCUCCAUGGUACCGCCGUUACCGGCCGCCCCUCGACGAACCGAAGACACCAGGAGAUCCGCCUCGUCGAGCUCUACAUCUUGGUGCAAGGAAUCGAGUCAAUACCCCGUAAUUCGAGCGCAAGGUCGCCGUUUCUCCUCCAUGUCCGCCACACUCCGGCGUUGAUUCCGGCCGCCCUCAUCCUCCUCCGUCCAAACCAAGGACACCUCCGGCUUCCUUGUGUUCUCCCGCAUCCCCGACGCCAAGUUCCCCUUCCCGAUCCGCGUUGAAUCGCCGGAUUGAGUCGCCACUGGAUCUUUCCGCCAUGGCUGCUGCUCUCAAGCUCGUCCCCGCUUCCCACUUCUUCUUAUUCGAGUGCACCAGUAAUCUGACAAGAUCUGAUCCGCAGCCCAGUGAUCCGGUGCCUACUGGGCCUCAGCCCACUUGCGCACCAGCUCUUUCGCCACCCAGUGUGCGGUAGACCACCAUCCGCCGCUCAGCGCUUUGCUUCUUCCCGGAUAGGAUCGUGAAGUGGUGUGCUGAGAUACGACAAGUUCUCCGGAUGUUUCUCGGCAAGUUUUAACAGGCAGGCAUUUCCACUAUACUCCUGCCCCUGCAGGAGUCGCUCACCUAUUUUAUUUUGCCUUCUCCCUCAUGCUAUCCUUGAGUUGCAUUCUUGUCACGUGUCCCUUCCACUUGUUACCUCAAGCAGCCCAUAUUGCCACCACCACCUCCUACGGCUAUUGUUUGGUUAUCGAGUCUGCCCUUGCGAAGUCGUAGUGCAUGCUAGUGCUUAUAUCUUGUUACCAAUUCAUUGCUAUCUUAUCGGGUCAUAUGUUGGGAAGAAUCAUGGUUACUUUAGUUGUUGAUAAUUGUUUAGCGGAGGCAUCGGUGGGUCAGCUGCUCGUUUUGUGACGGCUCACUUGUGUUUCCUAAAUAACCUAGGACCCGAGUUCUUGUUAUCUGUUCCGAGACUGAGCGCUCUAACCACACGUGGGUAUGCUUACCGGGUCUCCCCUUGACCACUUCCAGAAUCUACAGCUUUGUCUAGUGGCCACAACUAGUUUGGAUGUUUGUUUUGUUUCUCCCGGGCGUGCAAGCUUGUUUCUUUGUGGUCAGAUGAUAUGAUGUUACUCUUGGGGAAGCCAUGUUGCCUUGUAACCCCGUUGUCUCUUGCACGCUCGUAGGAUGCGGUACGUAUUGCUGAAGAUGGA